CGCCCCAGCGCCUCCGCCGUGGGGUACACCUAAAAAACGAGGUCGUACAGCUGCAGCCAGUACAGCACGGUGAUGGCGAGGGCCACCGUCUGCGCCACGUUGAACAUUCCACCCCCACCCCACACCCCCUAUGUACCGGGGUCAUACAGCAGCAGCCAGUACAGCACGGUGAUGGCGAGGGCCACCGUCUGCGCCACGUUGAACAGUUCCACCCCCACCC